ACUCUGAACGGUGGAUCACUUGGUCUGUGGAUGCUAUGAAGACCAUAGCUAAGUGUGAGAAUAUCAGCGAGCCGUCGCUAUAUGCGCUGACCUCUUCUCUCAUAAGUCGAAUGCACAUUGCGCUCUACCCAGUGAUUGGCGUAACACCAGACCAAAGCUGGCUUGAUCUGUAGC
rnacentral:rRNA from 1 species